CAUGCCCAACAGCUAGCCCAUUGACUAAAACCAACAAACACCCAUCAAUAAACCCUAAAACACUACAUCACACUAAACAAACCAUUUUUCCCCCUCAGUAUAGGCGAUAGAAAAG
rnacentral:rRNA from 1 species